GUGGACUUUAGUUUCGGAUGAAUUUUAACAUUACCAUUUUCGGUCCGUAUCUUCUUCCCUUUUUGAGAUCCUUCGGCUUCUGAGUGUGCUUCAUCUUCCGGCGAGUCGUUUUUGAUUCUCGAUCUCUUGGAUUCCUCAACCGAUCUAUACUGACGAAACAACUCAUCUUCAUGUAACGCGCAUUCCAUCUUCCUAUAUAUAGAGAUCCUAUGUGUGUUACGAAAAUGACUUCAUCAGCUGCUCCAGUCACUAACGCCACCGUCGCCUACUCUUCUUUCGCCUCUCUUCGCCUCAGAAGAACUGCUCUGUCAGUUGUUGCUGACCUCAUCUGCUUCUGAGAUGCUCUCGAUGUCGCUCAUAAACUCUUUUUUCUUUCUCUCAGCUACGGUCCGGAGAUUACGCCGGAACGGCAUUCAAUUGGCGCAGUAGUUUAAUAUUUAUAUAUCAUGAAAAUUGAUGGUUCCGUUAGAUUUGUUUGUUGUGCUGUUUUGUUGGAAUCCUUAUGAAGAGUUAUAUGUGGUCCUGCAGAUGGAAUCCUCACAAAAGAAAUAUUUUUUGGGUUUCUGUUCAGCUUCAGGUAAAGAUCGUUUCCAAGGCUGAUGACUUCCAGAAUCAGGCUCAGCCUCUUGAAGAUCUUGCAAGAAGGCUUAAAUCACAUGUAUUCUCCGUUGCUGACCCUUCCCAUAUAUAUUUAGUUCUGUAUAUUUUCUUUUCAUGUGUGUAUUUUUGCUUGCAUCUUAUGUUUAUAUAUGUAAAAAGUUUGAACCUUGCGUUGUCAUUCUUGACUUUAUUGAGAGUAGAAGAUGCAAACAGAACGGCUGUAAGUUUCUGAUGCUUGACACAUGAUUGACGCUGUCAUCUACUGAUGAUAAAGCUACAAGAAAAUGUGGAUUAAUCCAUUUUUUUCUUAAACAUGUAACUGUCUUUGAUAUAGUGGAGCUGUACAUAGGCAGCUUGAUUUACAUGGACUCAAUCUGGCAGCAGACGAUGCCUCAUCAGUCUUCUAAUGAGUAGGGGGUGUCCCGCUCUUAUGGGUUUGGUAUUGACAAUGUAGGCUCAGACCCAUCUGCUAAUGCCUCUCAAGAUUACCAUGGAAGCUACAGUGUUGGAGUAAAUAGACAAACAAAUAGAGGUAUUGAAGCAUAGAGAAAAGUCGAUGAAGAAAGUGAUACUUGUAGAUCAAGAAAGAACAAUGUCCCUUGCAGAGUUGUAAUUUAUUAUCAUCCAAAGUAGAGAAAGAGAUACCAACUUUCUUCAUCACAGUGAGUUUCUGUUUUUUUGUUGUUGUUUUGUUUCUUCUGUAUCUAAUUCUUACAUAAAGAUAAGAUCUGAUAAGUAGCUGCAAAGAUGCAAGAUGGGAUGAUAAAAGAUUUGGUUUCUGCGUUUGUCUCCAUAGCAAUAACUAAAGAUAGUUGAUUCUCGAUCACUAUUCUUUAGGUUUUCACGUCU